rnacentral:rRNA from 1 species
CCUACGGGUGGCAGCAGUGAGGAAUAUUGGUCAAUGGUCGGGAGACUGAACCAGCCAAGUCGCGUGAGGGAUGAAGGUACAGAGUAUCGUAAACCUCUUUUGUCAGGGAACAAAGGCGGGGACGCGUCACCGGUUGAGUGUACCUGAAGAAAAAGCAUCGGCUAACUCCGUGCCAGCAGCCGCGGUAAUACGGAGGAUGCGAGCGUUAUCCGGAUUUAUUGGGUUUAAAGGGUGCGUAGGCGGGGUGAUAAGUUAGAGGUGAAAUCCGGAGGCUCAACUUCGGAAUUGCCUCUGAUACUGUUGAGCUAGAGAGUAGUUGCGGUAGGCGGAAUGUAUGGUGUAGCGGUGAAAUGCUUAGAGAUCAUGCAGAACACCGAUUGCGAAGGCAGCUUACCAGGCUACUUCUGACGUUGAGGCACGAAAGCGUGGGGAGCAAACAGGAUUAGAUACCCCUGUAGUC